GAGAAUGAAGUUAUUGUUUGAUCCUCCUCAAUCACUCUCUCAAUUUUUGCUUCCCUAUCAUGUAAUAGGAUGGCAGUUUCUCUGCACAUGCUUAAGAUCUGCUUCCCAUCACUUGUUAUUUCUAAAUCAGAUAUCUUCAUAGUCCGUUGCCCUUUCCAACACUCUAGCUCUUUUCCAUUCAAAUCCCACAUGCAGAUACUCUUAUCAUUAAUGCCAGAUAAUAUCCAUUUCCCAUUUGGAAACCAUCCACAGGAAAUGAGGCCAAGACCAGCUUUGUCAUAGACAUGGAGGCAUUCACCAGAAGAAACAUCCCAGCGCCUUAUAGCCUCCUCCAUCCCACAAGUGAGAAGCUGAUGGUCAUCAGGACUCCAGGAAACAGAGGAUACAUGUUUUUGAUGACCACAUAAUCGAUGCUUUAAAGAAACUCCAUUUGUAUCAACCUCCCAUAUGAUUGCUGAUUGAUCACUGGACGAUGAAGCUAAGUAUUUCCCAUUGUGUGAAAAUUGUAAGAACCACACUUCAUCAGAAUGUGCCUCUAAUAUCUGCAAAGUUCGAGAUGGAAUCUGAUCUCUUCCACAGUGAUGAUCUGUAUACAAUGACAUUUCUUUGUCCAUGGAGUUGUGAAAGAUGCAAGCAUCUCGUUGCAAGGUAAGAGCCUGUUCUACUAAAUAUUCCAACCUCCUUUCAGGUAUUAUAACUGUUGGUGGGAGCAAUUUUUGCAAUUCCUCCAGCAGCUUUGACCGAGACUUCAUCCUUGCAUCAUCUUGAUUAGAAGACCCAACUGAAGCACACA
rnacentral:misc_RNA from 1 species